UUGAGGAAGGUGGUAGUCGCUUCCCACAUGUUAUUGGGGUUGUGGAUGGCACACAUGUAGCUAUUCAGCCACCAAAACAUAAUGAAGAAAUUUAUAGAAACAGGAAACUGUUUCAUUCUCUGAAUGUAAUGGUUGUUUGUGGGCCAUCCCUCCAGAUCCUUUCCCUGAAUGCAAAGUUUACUGGAAGUUCCCAUGAUGCGUAUGUCAUUAGACAAUCAGGGAUAUGGCACAGAUUAAGAUCAAGUCAACGAGCAGACAUGUGGUUAUUGGGAGACCGUGGAUAUCCUUGCACCCCCUGGCUCAUGACUCCUUACCGUAAUCCCAGGCCAGGACCACAGACGGCAUUUAACUCCGCGCUUACUGCCACUAGGCAGCUGGUGGAGCGCACAAUUGGGGUCCUUAAAGGGCGGUUUCGUGUGCUCCACCGCACUGGUGGCGACAUCAUGUAUUCGCCGGAGAUGGCAAGUAAACUAGUGGUCCUGUGCGCUAUACUACACAACAUCGCGGUAAGGAGUAGCGUAGAGCUUCCUCAGACAGAGGAAUUGCCUGAUGAGGAGCCAGGGGUUGUCCGACACUUCGGUGGGGGGAGUGUUACACGGAGGGGGAGCCAAGUCAGGGCAAGCAUUGUUGCGGAAUAUUUCAGCUGAAUGAUCACACAAACUGUGGACGACCACAACGGCAAGCAACACAUGAGGCACCAUCUCAGCCCCCUUCCCCUUCUCACUCCCCCUCCACUUCCCAGUCCCCCUCCCCUUCUCACUCCCCCUCCCCUUCCCAAUCCCCCUCAGCUUCCCAGUCCCCCUCAGCUUCCCAAUCCCCCUCUGCUUCCCAGUCCCCCUCAGCUUCCCAGUCCCCCUCAGCUUCCCAA